CAGUCAGCUUGACACAAGCAUCAAUUACUCCUUGGAUUUCAGCAGUAAUUGUAGAACCUGAUUUGUCGAUUAUUGCAUCUAUCUCCUCAAUCACAUCAAAAUAUGCCUCAUUGUUCGUGUAUUUCACACCAGUACGUCUCCAAGGCACCACUGAUAGCUGCCCAGUAGGAAGCUGGUCACCCACAUUAGUGCUUCCUGUGAUGGUGUUGACUACCGUUCGCAGGAUAGUUGGAGGCUUUAUCAGUUCUUUGAGAAUAUUAGAUUCUGUUGCCAAUGGAAAGCCAUUGUCUAGCAUCUCUUCCAGCACCUCAUAAACCACCACAACAUUGUCCUUGAUCAUCACCUCCGAACAGACACCAAAGUAAUCCUUAGGGGUUGUAACCACCUUUUCACAGCACGAUGGUCCGCCCGUGCCCUUCCCGCACAACUCCGGGCGGGCGGGUGCCCCACCGCGCUGACAGCCCCCCGGCUGUGGGGCGCGGAGCUCUCCCGCCCAAGCGCCGCUUCCAAGCAGCCCAUCCCGCGCCGUCCGCUCGGCGCUCCAGGCCGCUCUCGAAGACCGCCCCACCUCCCG
rnacentral:lncRNA from 1 species